AUUAAGGGCACAUGGGGGAUGUCUUGGCGUUGAGAGACGAUGAAGGGCGUGGAAGUCUGCGAAAAUCCUGGGGGAGUUGACAAACAAGCGAUGAUCCCGGGGUACCCGAAUGCUUCGUGCUGAAUCCAUAGGCACGUUAGCGACAACCUGGUGAACUGAAACAUCUAAGUAACCAGAGGAAGAGAAAGAAAAAUCGAUUCCG
rnacentral:rRNA from 1 species